rnacentral:rRNA from 1 species
GACGAACGCUGGCGGCGUGCUUAACACAUGCAAGUCGAACGGAAAGGCCCUGCUUUUGUGGGGUGCUCGAGUGGCGAACGGGUGAGUAACACGUGAGUAACCUGCCCUUGACUUUGGGAUAACUUCAGGAAACUGGGGCUAAUACCGGAUAGGAGCUCCUACUGCAUGGUGGGGGUUGGAAAGUUUCGGCGGUUGGGGAUGGACUCGCGGCUUAUCAGCUUGUUGGUGGGGUAGUGGCUUACCAAGGCUUUGACGGGUAGCCGGCCUGAGAGGGUGACCGGCCACAUUGGGACUGAGAUACGGCCAGACUCCUACGGGAGGCAGCAGUGGGGAAUAUUGCACAAUGGGCGGAAGCCUGAUGCAGCAACGCCGCGUGCGGGAUGACGGCCUUCGGGUUGUAAACCGCUUUCGCCUGUGACGAAGCGUGAGUGACGGUAAUGGGUAAAGAAGCACCGGCUAACUACGUG